rnacentral:rRNA from 1 species
UACGUACCGUCCAAACGUUAUUCGGAAUUACUGGGCUUAAAGGGUACGUAGGCGGCGCUGUCAGUCGGGUGUGAAAUCCCACGGCUCAACCGUGGAACUGCGCCCGAUACUGCAGUGCUUGAGGGAGACAGAGGUAAGCGGAACUGAUGGUGGAGCGGUGAAAUGCGUUGAUAUCAUCAGGAACACCAGUGGCGAAAGCGGCUUACUGGGUCUCUUCUGACGCUGAGGUACGAAAGCUAGGGGAGCGAACGGG